AGCGCAAGCUUAAAACUUAAAGGACUUGACGGUGUCCCAUCUACCUAGAGGAGCCUGUUCUAUAAUCGAUAAUCCUCGUUAUAUCUCACCUUUUUUAGCUUAUCACUCUGUAUACUUCCGUCGUAAGCUUACCAUAUNANUGUSUUANUAAGUUAAAUAGUAAUAAUAAUUACCAAAACGUCAGGUCAAAGUGCAGCCAACAAAAAGGGAAGAAAUGGGCUACAAUUUCUACUUAAGAACAUACGAAUUUAAGUAACUGAAAACUACUAUGAAGGCGGAUUUAGAAGUAAAAUGAAAAUAAAGUGUUCAUUUUAACAAUGCUCUGGGACGUGUAC
rnacentral:rRNA from 1 species